rnacentral:rRNA from 1 species
GAUGAACGCUGGCGGCGUGCCUAAUACAUGCAAGUCGAGCGAACAGACGAGGAGCUUGCUCCUCUGACGUUAGCGGCGGACGGGUGAGUAACACGUGGAUAACCUACCUAUAAGACUGGGAUAACUUCGGGAAACCGGAGCUAAUACCGGAUAAUAUAUUGAACCGCAUGGUUCAAUAGUGAAAGACGGUUUUGCUGUCACUUAUAGAUGGAUCCGCGCCGCAUUAGCUAGUUGGUAAGGUAACGGCUUACCAAGGCAACGAUGCGUAGCCGACCUGAGAGGGGGAUCGGCCACACUGGAACUGAGACACGGUCCAGACUCCUACGGGAGGCAGCAGUAGGGAAUCUUCCGCAAUGGGCGAAAGCCUGACGGAGCAACGCCGCGUGAGUGAUGAAGGUUUUCGGAUCGUAAAACUCUGUUAUUAGGGAAGAACAAAUGUGUAAGUAACUAUGCACGUCUUGACGGUACCUAAUCAGAAAGCCACGGCUAACUACGUG